rnacentral:rRNA from 1 species
AGUGAACGCUGGCGGUAGGCCUAACACAUGCAAGUCGAACGGCAGCACAGUAAGAGCUUGCUCUUACGGGUGGCGAGUGGCGGACGGGUGAGGAAUACAUCGGAAUCUACUUUUUCGUGGGGGAUAACGUAGGGAAACUUACGCUAAUACCGCAUACGACCUACGGGUGAAAGCAGGGGAUCUUCGGACCUUGCGCGAUUGAAUGAGCCGAUGUCGGAUUAGCUAGUUGGCGGGGUAAAGGCCCACCAAGGCGACGAUCCGUAGCUGGUCUGAGAGGAUGAUCAGCCACACUGGAACUGAGACACGGACCAGACUCCUACGGGAGGCAGCAGUGGGGAAUAUUGGACAAUGGGCGCAAGCCUGAUCCAGCCAUACCGCGUGGGUGAAGAAGGCCUUCGGGUUGUAAAGCCCUUUUGUUGGGAAAGAAAAGCAGCAGGUUAAUACCCCGCUGUUCUGACGGUACCCAAAGAAUAAGCACCGGCUAACUUCG